rnacentral:rRNA from 1 species
CGGGGUGAGUAAUGUAUGGGGAUCUGCCUGAUGGCGGGGGAUAACUACUGAAACGGUAGCUAAUACCGCAUAAUGUCUGCGGACCAAAGCGGGGGACCUCCGGGCCUCGCGCCAUCAGAUGAACCCAUAUGGGAUUAGCUAGUAGGUAAGGUAACGGCUUACCUAGGCGACGAUCCCUAGCUGGUCUGAGAGGAUGAUCAGCCACACUGGGACUGAGACACGGCCCAG